UACGAAGCCAUUAUGUCGAACGGUUCUCGUCUUCCGGGACGGUGGAGGAUCGGCUACUACGUGGACAUAUUGCAGAUUGCAGAAGUCGGACACAAUUUUUGCGCCUGGAGACUGGCGUUGCCGUCAUUGACGUCACGAGUGAAAGCAAGAAGGAACGUUCCAGUGCAGUCUAGUGCAGAAAUAGAAAACAAGCCUAUAAUGUGAAAAAUAAAUGCAGAGGUAAGAUCGAAAUAUCGAUAGUAUCGAUCUUGGCGAAGUCGACCGCGCGGAGACGAAGUCGCUUCCCGCCGUCUUCAGCUGCAUUCACGUUUCUUUCUCAGAACGCAAAGAAUGCGGGACGGACGGGCUCCGGAACGGAGGCGUCAUCGCGGCUCAUUUAACAGAAGACGGCGGUCGCGAUGCAGAUCGAAGCGCGAGCGAGUGGCGUCGCAAAGUCGUUAAUAAGUAAAUCUAUAUUAAUCUCGCGAUAAUUUAAGUCCGCAGCUCGAUAAUAUGUUACGGAAAAUACUAAAUGGAAUGCGGGACAUGGUAGCGUUAUCGCGAUGGCGCGAACGCGGCAUCGUCGCGUCGGUCUUGUCGCGUGAAGUUGACCGCGCGUGCAUACAUGACGCCGCGCCGCUUCUCGCCACCUUCAGUUGCAUUCCCGUUUCUUUUACAAAACGCAAUGGACGCGGGAUGGACGGGCUCCGGAACGGAGGCGUGAUCGCGGCUCGUUUAACAGAAUGCGGCGGGUGCAAGAUGGAUCGGAGCUGGAGCGAGCGGCGUCGCGACUCUCGUUUAACAAGUGAAAUCAAUCUAAAUCUCGAUCGCGUCAAUACUAUCAAUUUAACCGUCGCGUAAUACAAUGAUUCUGUACUCAUAUCAGUGAUUCAUACAAACGCGUAUUUCGUGAUAAUUACUUGGUCGAAAGUAUAUUGCGCUACCUGUUGACAACGACGAUAUAUAUAUUAUUGGAUUAACGAGACGUACGCAAAAAGGAUCAAUUUUAGAACGAAUGGCCUUAGGAUUUAUUUAAUUAAUCGUGUAGUAGAUACUACAAUUUUAUUAUUGCACAUCUUUGGAAUAUAAUCUAAAGAGAAGAUCUGACAACUCGGAAACAAAUUAGUCUUAAGGGAGGUAUUUGGUGGAAAAACUUUGCGAUUCAUCGUAGCAACGAUAAUUCUACUGUUGCACAUCGAACAAGCAAACUUAUGUAUAAAGCUAACGUAUACUCCUUGAUGAUUUAAAUAAACGAACUGCAACCGGUUCGUCGCGACACGCGUUUGUUUCGGGAGUGCCGUUUAAAGUAAUAAGACUUAAUUAGUCCACGGGCGCAAUUUUAGAGUAUUUAACGCGAGUGUUACGCGAGUUUAACGGGACGAGGAGACUUGACAACUCGGAUCUGAAAGGAGGAGGUCUGGGAGAGGCAUCGAGCCUCAGCGGAGCGAUUUUGAGUAUCAUCGCAGUUACGUUGCUGAAUAACUCCGCUCGUUGCAUGAGAUCUGUGAGUAUAUAAGGAUUGUGUUCCAAAUUUAUUGCUAGCACUAAAAAUUUAUACGUAACGUAAAUUAUUUUUAAUAGUACAUAUUGAAACGCAGCCCAGAUUGCAAAAUUUACUAAUAAUACAACAUAAGAAUUGCUUCAAAAUUAUAAAUUUAAAAAGAAUUUUGUCAAUUAUUAUAUAAUGUGAAUUAUAUAUUCCUUUUAUUUUUUUACUUUGAUUUUUAUUUGCGGAUUUAAAGAGUAUUAUUUUAUUCAG